rnacentral:rRNA from 1 species
AACAAACGCUGGCGGCGUGCCUAACACAUGCAAGUCGUACGAGAAAGGGUCCUUCGGGGCCUGAGUAAAGUGGCGCACGGGUGAGUAACGCGUGGAUAAUCUGCCCUUCAGUUGGGAAUAACUCAUCGAAAGGUGGGCUAAUACCGAAUAAUGCUGUGAGGCCUCGGUUGAUCAGCCAAAGAGAGCCUCUGCUUGCAAGCCCUCGCUGAAGGAUGAGUCCGCGUACCAUUAGCUAGUUGGUAGGGUAAUGGCCUACCAAGGCGACGAUGGUUAGCUGCUCUGAGAGGAUGGUCAGCCACACGGGAACUGAGACACGGUCCAGACUCCUACGGGAGGCAGCAGUGAGGAAUCUUGCGCAAUGGGGGCAACCCUGACGCAGCAACGCCGCGUGAGUGAGGAAGGUCUUCGGAUCGUAAAGCUCUGUCGGAUGGAAAGAACCGCAUAGGGGUAAACAGCCCCUGUGUCUGACGGUACCAUCAAAGGAAGCGCCGGCUAACUCCGUGCCAGCCGCCGCAGUAACAC